AGAGAUGACACCAAUGACAUAGGGUUGCAUUGCUGCAAGAGAAAAUUCUUGCAGGGGUUCAUCUGUUGUUGUAGAAAUGACUGAAUCAUCAGUUGUUGUUGUUGGGGGAAUGAUUGUUGUGGUUGUUGGGGCUGCGGAAAUUGUUGUUGGGGUUGGGGAAAAGGUUGUUGUGGUUGCUGUGACUGGGGAAAUGGUUGUUGGGGUUGUUGAGGCUGGGGGAAUGGUUGUUGUGGUUGUCGGGGAAAUGGUAGUUGGGGUUGUUGGGGCUGGGGAAAUGGUUGUUGUGGUUGCUGGGGCUGGGGAAAUUGUUGUUGUGGUCGAUGGGGGAAUGUUUGUUGAGGUUGGGGAAAUGCUUGUUGUGGUUGAUGGGGGAAUGUUUGUUGGGGUUGGGGAAAUAUUUGUUGUGGUUGCUGGGAGAAUGGUUGUUGGGACUGGGGGAAAGGUCGUUCUUGUGGCCAUUGUACUCGGCUGCUAGGGUCGACCUGCAUAUUGGCAGUGGCGAUUGUUGUUGCCAUCGCAAGGAUUGUUAGGAUGAGUAAGGUCUUCAUGGUGGAUUUGCGUUAAAUACUACUUACUUGGAUUUGAUGCUUGUGCUCUAGUUGUGUGAAGGAUGGAUGAUGGU
rnacentral:lncRNA from 1 species